ACGACACAGAAGUGAGCUCACCCACAGAAGGUUGUGUGGAGGAGAGUGCCGCUUCCAACUGCUUUUCACAAAGGGUAGUUGGUGAGCAGUCAUACGCCUUUAUCUGCAACCAGCCCAAGGCUGAGGACAAGGAGUUCCUGAAUUACAUUCCCUUCUACAGCAAAAUGGUGCAUUCUGUGAAGACAGAGGCUGCGGCAUUCUAAUCUUCCGUCUCCUCCGUAGUGUCCAGCACAUGGCUUGGUACCUUGCAAACAGUAAGAAUAGAUUGUCAUCAGCAGGCACUAUCUGGUUUGAGCAUCACCCUUGAAAAGAAAAAUGAUCAACAUUCCUCAGAUAAUUGCUUUAAAGAGAAUUCGCUGAAAAGGAAGACAAUGCCAGAAAUAUUUCAGAGCAGACUUGAGAUACUUCAUUUGACAAAUUGCAUUUGAGUGACCACUUACCUAGGAGAUUCUCUGAUGGUGUUAUCCAUUGUAAACGGGCGGCCACCUGAUCCAGGUGAAAGAGAAGGGAUCGAACUCACAACCUCGCGCUGGCCGGGCAGGCACUUAUGCCACUGAGCUAUAUCCCUGGCUAAUUUAACUUCUUAAUGAGAAAAAAUUGUAAUGAAAAGAACCAUAAAAUGUUUCCAGUGGCUGCUGGGUGGAUUUCUGCUUUGCCUCCCUGUGCUAGUUUCUCCAGUGAUGCCUUGGGGCGUAUCUUCCAACCACCCCACCCACACCGUCCAGGAUUACCUUGGCCAGACCUUCAGAAUGAGAAAACAAGAGAACUGGCCCUCAGCAUGCAUUCUCAGAGCUGGAGGACUUUACACUGGGGAUGACACAGGAGACAGAAGAAAACCUGCUUACCACGUUCGUAGAAUAGCUUUCCGCUAGCCGCUUCCAGUGCAAAUCAUCUCACUGUGGAGUGAGACAGCUAAAGGUCACAGCCAUACUAUCACUAAUGCUUGUCUUGCAAUCUAUUCUCCAGUGAAAGGUGAACUCCAGAAGAACAUGCACUUUGGGGGACCCCCCCCAGCACCCAAGUCUGUGUCUCUACCUGGCAAGCUGUAGCCGUCAGUACCAGGGAGUCAGUAACUCUUUGUUGAAUGGAAUACGUUUUAUCAUCGCCCUUGUGGUAAGGAUAGCGAGCUUGAAGUCAUGGUACAAUGAACAAAUAUGGAACUAGAGGCCUUAACUACCACUGACCAUGUCCUGUGUACAAAUAGCCUCUCUACCUUGUACUUUGCUUGUCAGAAAAUUAAGAGACAUAAGGGGCUGGGGAUUUAGUUCAGCGGCAAAAGCGCUUGCCUG